AAACCAAGAGGAUUAAGUUAUGCAUUUUCGGUAAAAAGACAGUUAGGUAGUGUGGUAAGUUUAUUUAAUUUUUAUUAGGAAGUAAAAUUCGUAGAUAAUUUAGAAAAUUAACUAAAGCUAAAAAACUGAAGCUGUGACACCCUUGAGGGAAACUGGGAUUAGAUACCCCAUUAUUCUUGGAAAUAAAAAAUAUAAAUCUACCAGAGUACUAUGAAUUGAUGCUAUUUAAAACUCAAAGAGCUUGGCGGUGUUUUAGACUCUUUAGGGGAACCUGUCUCAUAAUCGACAAUCCACGUAAAACCUGACCUUUAUUUGUUUUCAGUUUGUAUACCGUCGUCGUCAGGUAACUUUUUAGAAAAAAGAAGUUAGCAAAAGAGUUAUUAUAAUCUCUUACGUCAGAUCAAGGUGCAGCCAACAUAAAGGAGAGGAUGGGUUACAAUUAUUAAAUUUAUAACUACGGAAUAAUUGUUUUAAAUAACAGCUAUGAAGGAGGACUUAAAAGUAAAAUAGGGUAUAUAAACAUAUUGAAUUGAGCUCUGAAACGUGC
rnacentral:rRNA from 1 species